GUCCGUGUAGCGCAAUGGAUAGCGUGUUGAACUUUUAAUUCAAAGAUCAUGGGUUCGAAUCUCACCUGGGAUG